rnacentral:rRNA from 1 species
GUGUCAGCCGCCGCGGUAAUACGAAGGGGGCAAGCGUUGUUCGGAAUCAUUGGGCGUAAAGCGCGUGUAGGCGGCCUAUUAAGUCGAGUGUGAAAUCCCUAGGCUCAACCAAGGAAGUGCAUUCGAAACUAAUAGGCUAGAAGAUGGUAGAGGAUGGUGGAAUUCCAGGUGUAGAGGUGAAAUUCGUAGAUAUCUGGAGGAAUACCGGUGGCGAAGGCGGCCUUCUGGACGGUGACUGACGCUGAGACGCGAAAGCGUGGGGAGCAAACAGGAUUAGAUACCCCGGUAGUCCACGCUGUAAACGAUGAGCACUAGGUGUGGGGGGGUUCAGUCCCUUCCGUGCCGCAGCUAACGCAUUAAGUGCCCCGCCUGGGGACUACGGCCGCAAGGCUAAAACUCAAAUGAAUUGACGG